CCCGGCUCGGCCCGGUCCGGGGCAGCCCGGCUGCGCUGAGUCCGGUCCGGCCCGGAGCAGCCCGGCUGCGCCGAGUCCGGCCCGGCCCGAGGAAGAAGCAGAAGUUUUAACCAUCUUCCCAUGGCAUCUGACUUUUUUGAAGAGGAGGACUUUUCAACCACUUGAUGGAAGGGAAAUAAGUUUGUUUCAAGACUCGUAUGUUGUUCAUCAGUGGUGUUAACAAACGUGCGGCUUGAGGAUACAUUUGCUGCUUCUCUGCAUUUUGCUGGAGGAAGGACCUUGCUGUCUCCCAGCUCCUGUGGGCAUUAUGUUUCCUGAAUGUCUCUUGGGAAGAGGACAGCUCUGUAGAGCCUAAGUUUCAGAAGUAAUUUUAAAGAUUGCACCCAAGAGAGAAGCAGUGAGAUGCACAGUGGGGAAAAUAAACCCAGCAGUCCAUCCUAUCCUGUACCUGCCUGAAUAUGGGAAGAGACCUAGUACAAAGCCAGAAUACACCUGGGCUUGCAGUAUUUUUAACCAUAAUAAGUCCUGUUCAGAGUUAAUGAUGAGCUCAGUGAGAUGGUCUCAGCAAUGCUGAAGAAGGGAAGGACAGAAUUGGAAGGCAGGAGCUAUUUCAAAGCAGGAUUCUUCAUCUUUCUGUAAUGCCCAAACACGAAGACUUUAUAAACUUCAUUAGAUCCUGCCAUCAAUGACUGAGCCUCCCUGAAAAUCUUCUUAUCAUUUACUGCCAAGAUGAGAAGGAUAACAGGAAGGAGGAGUGCUUAAGUGACUUUAAUGACAGUUAAUUUCUUCUAUUUAUCAGGUUGUCUUUCCUCAAAACUCAAUUGUCAUGACAAGAUGCUUUUGGAAGUCAUCUUUGUAAAAUAAAACUGACAAUUUUUAGGCUA